ACAACAACAACAACAACAGCAACAACAACAACAACAGCACCAACAUCAACAGCCCGAACAACCGGAACAGGAACCUGAUGUUAUGGAUUUAUAUUUGGAACUCUAUUGGGCCAGAAUUGGCAAAGGGCCCUACUGGCCAUGCCAGAUUGUUAGAGACGAAGAUGAGAGAUUUUACAAGAGAAAAAUUUGCUCCAACAA